GGCUGUGUGGCGCAACGGUAGCGCAUCUGACUUCGGAUCAGAAGGCUGGGGGUUCAAGUCCCCUCACAGUCA